CCCGCUGAACUUAAGCAUAUCAAUAAGCGGAGGAAAAGAAACCAACAGGGAUUGCCUCAGUAACGGCGAGUGAAGCGACAACAGCUCAAAUUUGAAAUCUGGCCUUCUGGUCCGAAUUGUAAUUUGUAGAGGAUGCUUCGGGCGUGGUUCAGUCUAAGUUCCUUGGAACAGGACGUCAUAGAGGGUGAGAAUCCCGUAUGCGACUGGGUGCCUAAGCCUAUGUGAAGCUCCUUCGACGAGUCGAGUUGUUUGGGAAUGCAGCUCAAAAUGGGUGGUAAAUUUCAUCUAAAGCUAAAUAUUGGCCAGAGACCGAUAGCGCACAAGUAGAGUGAUCGAAAGAUGAAAAGCACUUUGGAAAGAGAGUUAAACAGUACGUGAAAUUGUUGAAAGGGAAGCGUUUGCAACCAGACUUGUAUACAAUUGAUCAUCCGAUGUUCUCACCGGUGCACUCAAUCGUAUUCAGGCCAGCAUUGGUUUUGGUGGUUGGAUAAAGGCCUUGGGAAUGUAGCUUCCACUCGGGAGUGUUAUAGCCCUUGGUGCAAUGCAUCCUACUAGGACCGAGGACCGCGCUUUGGCUAGGAUGCUGGCGUAAUGGUUGUAAACGACCCGUCUUGAAACACGG
rnacentral:rRNA from 1 species